GCCAACUCAGAUGGACAGAAGGGUUACAGAAAACAAACAAACAGAAAGAUCUGAGCUGAGCAGAUUAGGUGUCCUGUUGUGGAGCAGCACUUGAGACAGCUCAGUCUCUCAGGUAUAAUACCAUGGUAACUGCUGCUGGUUUACAGAUAAGAGCAUAUUGCAUCCAGGUGCUGGCUCUCCACAGGGACAUCAGUUUGCAUGAAGAGCACAUUAGUUUCAUAUUUUCUGAAGGAGCUAGAUGACAAACAGAGUGAAGAGAUACUGGUUACUGAAGGGCAGCUCUUUGGAAAAUACCAAGGCUGCUGCCUCAAGAUUAUGGACAGUGAAAGAAUUCUGAAGAAAGCAAUUGGACCUUAACUGUGGCAACAAAUUCACCUUUGUGAAUCCCUCUGGAGUCUGUGUAGAUUCAAAUGAGAACUUGUUUGUUGCAGAUGAAGGACAGAACUGCAUAGUGAUGUUUAACCCCGAUGCAUCCCUGAUUGCUUUAGUAGUAACUCAAGAUCUAGAGGGCCCUCGUGGGCUUUCGGUGACCAAGCAUGGGCUCUUGGCAGUAGCUGACUGCUACCAUCACAGUGUGAAGUUCUACAGAUACAGAUGAGAGUAGGUGAAUGCCUUAGCUCAGCAAUUGAACUUGCCUCAGUAAAUACCUUUGUAGAUGGUGAAUAAAAUAGAAAUGUAAAAAUCUAGGUUAACAUGGGACAUAAUUGUGAUCACUGGGCUGUUUCUACCAAGCAGAAGAAAACAUUCUAGCCUUAUGGAAGGAAGCACUAUGAGUUAGGACUUGGAGCCAAGGACUCCUGCAUAAUAAUCUCAGUUCUGCUACUGCUUUACUAUAUGGUCUUGGGCAAAUCACAAGCUUAUAUCCCAUCACAGUUC